UCUUUAUCGACAUUAUCAUUGAUUUGUUUGUUAUUGAUUUAUUUUUUUCAUUCUUUUUAGUAAAUAUUUCAAUAACGAUGACAACUUGACAUGCAAUGAAUUUCGCUAAUAAUCAAGUAAUCAUCAAAGAUACUUUAUAUUCUUCACCAAAUGAGAGCUUUAGAACAUGAAAUGCUUGAGUACAAGUUGAAGAAUUUUGUUUUUGUUUUGACUAUUAUUUUAUAAAACAUUGUUUUCAUUUGUAUGCGAAAUUUGUCGAAUUAGCUCUACUUAAUUAUACGAAAAACAUAUUUUGAUUAAUAGACAUUAACAUUUUAAUAUUUUCAUUUAUAUUA